AUCAGACCAAACCAACUGACAGAACGUGUUCAUACUGAACAUUCAGUUCCAGCAUUUCUCCUCUGUCAACAUGGAGAAACUCGCUGCACUUUUGUUCUUUUCAGCUCUCGUAGGUAACACCUUGGAAGAUGAUAUUACUGCCAGCAGAGCUGAAGUGUUCUCAUCAGAGGGCCGUAGUGUUACUCUGUCCUGUAGCUAUUCAGUUAAAGCCGAGAAUCUCCAGUGGUAUCGACAGGAUCCUGGAUCAGCUCCUCAGUUCCUUCUCCUGAUCACUGAUGCAAAAGAGCCUUCAGUGGUGGAAGCAAAACCUCCACACCCUCAACUGACCGCUAACCUGAAUGAGGAGAGGAAUCGAGUCGAUCUGCAGAUCUCCUCUGCUGCAGUGACAGACUCUGCUGUGUACUACUGUGAACUCACUGCAGUCAGGAAUGAAGAGUUCACUUUAGAAGGCAGCUCUGUUACUCUGUCCUACACAUACUCUAAAAAAGCAACUGGUAGUGAUCAAUUCUUCUGGUAUCGACAAUAUCAAGGAAAACUACCAGAGUUCCUCAUCUUUCACUUGGGAACACAAAAUGCAACAAACUCUAGAUGGUCUGCUAAAGUGAGUGAUGAUAAAACCCAUCUGGAUCUGCAGAUCUCCUCUGCUGCAGUGACAGACUCUGCUGUGUACUACUGUGCUGUGA